GUGAGUCGUCCUCCUUAUGCUGAGAAGGGCACGUCGCGCCGUGACACCGUCUGUGGUUAUUGCUCCCGGUUAGGUCACCCAGAGUCUGAUUGUCGCUAGAAGAAGCGAGACCAGAGGCGCUCCUCCUCCUCCAGUGGGACUCCUGUGUCUUCCUCGACCCCGUCACUCACUGACCAGGAUAUUGUUCACCUCAAGCGUCUCCUUGCUUCCUCAGGCUCCUCGUCGACUGCAUCC
rnacentral:rRNA from 1 species